rnacentral:rRNA from 1 species
GACGAACGCUGGCGGCGUGCCUAAUACAUGCAAGUCGAACGCUUUUUCUUUCACCGGAGCUUGCUCCACCGAAAGAAAAAGAGUGGCGAACGGGUGAGUAACACGUGGGUAACCUGCCCAUCAGAAGGGGAUAACACUUGGAAACAGGUGCUAAUACCGUAUAACACUAUUUUCCGCAUGGAAGAAAGUUGAAAGGCGCUUUUGCGUCACUGAUGGAUGGACCCGCGGUGCAUAGCUAGUUGGUGAGGUAACGGCUCACCAAGGCAACGAUGCAUAGCCGACCUGAGAGGGUGAUCGGCCACACUGGGACUGAGACACGGCCCAGACUCCUACGGGAGGCAGCAGUAGGGAAUCUUCGGCAAUGGACGAAAGUCUGACCGAGCAACGCCGCGUGAGUGAAGAAGGUUUUCGGAUCGUAAAACUCUGUUGUUAGAGAAGAACAAGGAUGAGAGUAAAACGUUCAUC